UAUGCAGCCUUACCUUUCAAUUACCCAUUUGCGUCGGAAAACCCAUUACAGGUUUGCGUUGAAAUUUCAGCUCUGAAGAAUGAGGCAUUAGAGAAAUUGGGAUUUUUUGUAAAGGGUGGUUGCCCAUAUCUGCUUUGCCAGUGAUUCCUCAAAAAAAAAAAAAAAAAAAAAACCAACAGCCCUUUGAAAUAUACAAAAAACAAAAAACAAAAUCCAAAAUUCUUCGUACCAAACACACCCUUAUAAUUCUUUGUGUUCUUUCUCUUUCUCCUCCUUUUGUGCUGCUAAAAUGUUGUUUAGGGGCUAUGAUGUAUGAUUGCUUCCUUUCUGAGCUAUGUUCAAU
rnacentral:lncRNA from 1 species